GACAGAGGGUGCAAACGUUGCUCGGAAUUAUUGGGCGUAAAGAGCUCGUAGGCGGUUUGUCGCGUCUGCCGUGAAAGUCCGGGGCUCAACUCCGGAUCUGCAGUGGGUACGGGCAGACUAGAGUGCGGUAGGGGAGACUGGAAUUCCUGGUGUAGCGGUGAAAUGCGCAGAUAUCAGGAGGAACACCGGUGGCGAAGGCGGGUCUCUGGGCCGUAACUGACGCUGAGGAGCGAAAGCAUGGGGAGCGAACAGG
rnacentral:rRNA from 1 species